rnacentral:lncRNA from 1 species
AGGAUUUAAUGCAGCUGGAUCGAUAUUCCAACAGCACUGGAAAUGGACAAACACAAAGCGACUACUCGGAAACUAGAAGAAAAACCGCAGAGAGAGGGAAAGCUUUCAGAUUUUCGUGAGUAUUCAUGUGGCUCCUAGGGAGCUGUAUUUAUAGGUAUUGUAACCCUAGAAGGCAUCAAACGGGCCCCCAUAGGCCGGCCCCAGAAACCCUAGGGCGACAGCUUGCUCUCCAAGCAAGCCGUUUCCUGAUCCUUCUAGAAUACCCUGACUUGGCCUCCACGAAGUCAACGGCAGUCAACCAUUUGACCUGGAUCGGUCAAACCGACUUGACCCGAACUCGUCAAAAAUAAAAGCUCCUCAGCUCCCAAGUGCGCCUAAAUCACGCCAUUUCGCGCACUCGCGGCGUCGGCUAGUGCUAGGCUAGGCUAGGCGCGCGCGUGGGCUUGGCCCAAUCCUUUGAUCCACUAAAGCCUUUGAAGGCUUACCAAGGGAAUAGGCUUAUAAACCCUCAAAAGUUUCUUCUCUCCACCAAUGUGGGAUACAAAGGAAAUUGCCAACUUGCAAUUCCUUUAUAUAUAAAAUUCCAACAAUCCCCCACCAAGUUGGUAAGUUUCCUUUCACUCAGACAGAUGAUGUCACUCGGGUGUCACGAAGAUUAAACCCUAGUUUAAUGAGAACAAACAAGAAGAGACCGAUUCAAUGGUAUCCUUAUAGGUUUAAACCAUGAACCUCAAUGACCUCUCCGGUUUACCCCCACACACCACAAGUCAUAUUUGUGUUCUCCCUGAGCGCUAUUAUGGCCAUGCGCUAUAAAUCCUUUUCAUGACCCUUUAGAAGAUAAACCACUAAUCUUCACUUGAGGCGGCACCACCUCUAGAUCAUAUAGGCAUAGUUUUACAACAUCUUCGUUGCUUAGAUGUCUCCAAAACUACGUUAAGAGUCGUAACUCAACCUCAUUCUCGGCAACGACGCACUAUCCUACCUCACAUGGAUCUAUCAUGAAUGAUAGUACCUUCUAUCGUUAGUGAUUUCGUUGUUACCCUUUAAACUUGAAAAUUAGGAGCACUAAUGUCAAGUUGGGUUUCCAUCACUAAACGAUUCUAUUGUGGUUUUAGACCCAUGACUCUCGUGGUAGAUGUAACCAAAUCUCUCGUCAGAGGUUUGGUAAACGGAUCUGCCAAGUUCCUACUUGUCUUGACAUAGACAACCUUGAUGGUACCACUUUCAAUUAGUUGUCUCACAAAAUUGUGACGCAGACCUACAUGUCUUGACUUCCCAUUAUAUACCGCAUUAUAUACUUUAGACAGUGUGGCCUCACUGUCACAGUACAUGGGUAUUGAAGGCAUCGGAAUAUCCCACAAACGUAUAUCCAUAAGUAGAUCUCGAAUCCACUCUGCCUCUUUGCCUGCUGCUGCUAAGGCAAUUAGCUCAGCUUCCAUCGUUGAAUGAGCUAUGCAUGUCUGUUUCUUGCUCGCCCAAGAAAUAGCACCACCAGCUAGAGUAUAAAUCCAACCACUUGUGGAUUUUGAAUCACUGGUGUGAUCAAUCCAGCUGGCAUCAGAAUAACCUUCAAGUAUUCCAUUAGAUGACGAAUAUGUCAAUUCAAAAGUACUUGUCCUUUUCAGGUAUCCUAGUACUCUACCCACUGCUUUCCAGUGCUCCGUCCCUGGAUUAACUGUAUACUGACUCAACUUGCUUACAGCGAAUGCGAUGUCAGGUCGCGUGCAGUGAGUAGCAUACAUCAUGCUCCCAACUGCACUAGCAUAUUCUAGUUGGGCCACAGCUCGACCAGAAUUCACCUUAAGUUUCACACUUGAAUCAAAAGGAGUGUUAAAUUCCUUAAUGUUCAAAUGUUGAAACUUUGUCAGAAUUUUCUCUAUGUAAUGAGAUUGACUCAGAGAAAUCUGACCACCUGUCCUCUUCACCUUGAUACCAAGAAUAGUAUCUACUUCUCCAAGAUCUUUCAUCUUAAAGUUCGAGGAUAGGUAUUUCUUCGUCUCAAGAAUACCUUCUAGGUGAGUGCCAAUGAUCAACAUAUCAUCAACAUAAAGACAUAUAACUACUAUGUAAUCAGAUGUAUGUUUAGAGUAAAUACAUCUGUCAGCACUAUUGUGCUGAAAACCAAAGGCAGUCACAGUGGUGUCAAAUCUCUCAUGCCACUGUUUAGGAGCUUGUUUCAACCCGUACAAAGACUUAACAAGUCUACAUACUUUGUUUUCUUGUCCAGGUAUUACGAAACCUUCAGGUUGCUCCAGGUAAAUCUCCUCUUUGAGAUAACCAUUCAGAAAGGCUGUCUUCACAUCCAUUUGAUGAAUGUACAAUCCCUUCAAAGCUGAUAUUGCUAUGAGAGUUCUAAUUGAACUAAUUCUAGCAACUGGGGCAUAGGUAUCAAAAUAAUCGAUCCCUUCUCGCUGCCUAUAGCCCUUUGCAACCAACCUUGCUUUAUAAGCAGAUAUGGAUCCAUCAGGAUGAUAUUUCUUCUUGAAUAUCCAUUUGGAUCCUAUGGGUCUUCUCCCCUUGGGUAGAUCAGCUAACUCCCAAGUUCCAUUACCCAUAAUUGAAUCCAUUUCGUCAUUGAUUGCUUCCUUCCACAGAGGAGCAUCCCGAGACGUCAUGGCUUCAGUAAAGGUCUUAGGAUCAUCAUCCAAAUUAAUUGAAAAGAUGACCUCUCUCGUCACUUUCUUUUGUGUUCCUUCGACCAAAUAAGAAUAGAAAUCAUCUCCAAAGGUUUUCUCAAUUCUAGCCCUAGUACUUCUCCUUGGUUCCUCCACAAUGGGAGGAGGUGGGAGUAUUUCUCGAGAGGUACUUGUAGGUGUUGUAUGACUAGAGUUUUCUUCAUCCUUAGAAAACUUGUCCUCAAAGAAUUCCACAUCUCUGGAUUCCACAACAACACCAGAAUCAAUAUCUAGUAAUCGGUAAGCCUUGCUAUUUUGAGCAUAUCCAAUAAAUAUACUCUUAUUAGCUCGUGCUCCCAAUUUGGUUCGCUUAGGAUCGGGAGUCCGAUAAUAAGCAACACACCCCCACACUUUCAAAUAGUCUAGGUUAGGCUUUCUACCUUUCCACAACUCAUAAGGGCUUGUAGGAAUCACACGACUAGUGAUCCUGUUAUGAACAUAACAAGCAGUUAAUAGUGCUUCCCCCCACAGAUUGUUUGGUUGACCCGAUUGGUUCAACAUACAGUUGACCAUCUCACAAAGAGUUCGGUUCUUUCUUUCAGCCAAACCAUUCUGUUGAGGGGUGUAUGGUGAUGUUCUCUCAUGUUUGAUUCCAUUCUCUUCGCAGAAUGUGUCAAACUCUUGGUUGAAAUAUUCUCCGCCUCUGUCCGAGCGAAGAAUUUUGAUGUGUCUUUCAAGUUGAUUUUCGACCUCAGCCUUAUAUCGUUUAAAUGCAUCAAAAGCUUCAUCUUUUGAUCUCAGCAAAUAAACAUGUAGAUAUCUACUGAAGUCAUCACAAAAUGUGAUGAAAUACCUUUUUCCUCCUCGAGUAAGGAUUCCAUUUAACUCACAUAUAUCAGAAUGAAUCAACUCAAGUAAAGAUGUGUUUCUCUUAACUGAUGGAAAUGGUUUCUUAGUGAACUUUGAUUUUACACAUGUUUCACAUUUUUCAAAAUCUUUUGUGUCAUAUUUUAACAUACCUUUAGUUUGCAUUUUUUCAAUGUUUUUAACAUUAGUGUGAGCUAAACGUUUAUGCCAUAAAGAAAUUGAACAAACAAUAUAACCAGAAAAGUUCACUUCAUUCACAUUAGCAACCAAUCCAUCAAUUACAUCAUUACCAACACUCGACACACUAGCAACACUAGAAACACCACACUCAACACUAGGACCACUCACAUUACCCUCAUCACUAAGACACAAGCGAUACAUUCCCGAAGUAUUGUUCGCCCUCCCAACAUGUCUUCUGCCUUUAGUGAUCACAAUUUUGCCUCUCUCAAGCACCAUCUUGAACCCACCCUUGUCAAACUUGUCCGCAGAAACCAAACCCUUCGAGAUGGUAGGAACAUGAAGAACAUCUCGAAGAGUCACCCAUUCACCACGUGUGAACUUCAACCGAACAUCACCCUUUCCUAGAACUUCAGCUCUGUGGCCGUCAGCACAGACGACAACCGUCCCUUGUGGCAUGGGGUGGUAGGUGCUAAAGCUUUCUCGAUGCCCACAAACAUGCAUAGUGGCUCUAGUGUCCACGAACCAACCUCGAGCACAUAUUGCUCGAGUAAGAGAGGAGAUCAUGAAAAUCUCUCCAAGGUUCACACUGGCCACCAUGUCAGUCACCUUCUUGACUGCGUGUGCAACCAGUACUGAUUUGCGAUCUUUGCAUUCUCUUGCAUAGUGCCCAAUCUCUCCGCAGACGUGGCAAGGACUGGCCCUUUUUGGCUUUGAGUUAGGAUUCUGAUGACCCGGUUUCUUGAAGCUUUGUUUCUUGGGUCCAAAGUUCUUCUUGUUCUGUCCCCCAGAUUUGCCUUUGUGGCUAGAACUCCCAGCUGACACUUGAUGCACACUUUGUCCAACUUUACCUUUCUUGUCCCUGAUGCGAGUUUCCUCCUCAAUGCGGAGGUGUUUCAUCAGAUCAUCCAAGGAGUAGUCCUCAGACUUGUGCAUCAUUCUCUUAGAGAAAUCUUUCCACGAGGGUGGCAGUUUUGCGAUGAUCGCACCAACCUGAAAGAGUUCUGGAAGAGAGAUGGUGAGUGCGUUCAACUUGUUGACCAUGACUUGGAGUUCAUGCACUUGCUCCAUAAUCGAUUUGUCAUCAACCAUUUGAAACUCAAGGUACUUGGACACAAGGUACUUGUUAGUACCUUCCUCAUGUGCCUUGUACUUAAGUUCCAACGCAUUCCAUAGCUCUUUUGGAUCUUUGACCGGCGAGUAAAGAUCAUAGAGCCGAUCAGAUAGGGAAUUCUUGAUGUGACCCACACACAAUUCCUCGGAUUCUCUACGCAGAAUCCUUUGCUUUUCCAGUUCUGCAAUGACCGCUGGGUCCACAGAUUCCCCCUCCUUGGGAAUUGGAUUAUCUGGAAUUGGUGGCAGUUUUGGGUCCAACACAAAGGAGAGCUUCAAGACAUGAAGCAUGAACUUGACCUUUUCGGCCCAACGAGUGUAGUUUUGACCAUCGAAUUGGUCAAGUUUGGCAAACUCUUGGUUCAUGAAGUGGAGGCUAGCAGUAGUGUCCAUUAGUCUGUUGAUUUAUCACAAAUAAAAACCUUUAAGAUUGUUGUAUAUCAAACUAAAAGACACGCAAGGAAACCGACAAAUAAUAUUGUGAAUUAUAUGUCGAUUAGUUGCGAAUAAUAAAUUCAAUUAUUAUUAUUAAAUUUACCAAGUUUCGUCCAGAAACCAGAUCUAUCCUUCUCGACUAGAUCUGAUUAUAAGAAAGGUAGAAGAAGACUGUCCUGUUAUUGGACGAAUUAAACACAAGACAGAAAAGUAAAACCGACCUGUUGAUUGCUGACUUGAUCUUGAAGCAACUGCACGGAUCAGAUUCCUGUCCUUAAAGGUUUUUACUUCGCUUGUAUUGGCUGUAAGCAACAGAGUAAAACCCCAGGAUUUAAUGCAGCUAGAUCGAUAUUCCAACAGCACUGGAAAUCGACAAACACAAAGCGACUACUCGGAAACUAGAAGAAAAAACCGCAGAGAGAGGGAGAGAGCUUUCAGAUUUUCGUGAGUGUUCAUGUGGCUCCUAGGGAGCUGUAUUUAUAGGUAUUGUAACCCUAGAAGGCAUCAAACGGGCCCCCAUAGGNCGUGAGUAUUCAUGUGGCUCCUAGGGAGCUGUAUUUAUAGGUAUUGUAACCCUAGAAGGCAUUAAACGGGCCCCCAUAGGUCGGCCCCAGAAAUCCUAGGGCGACAGCUUGCUCUCCAAGCAAGCCGUUUCCUGAUCCUUCUAGAAUACCCUGACUUGGCCUCCACGAAGUCAACGACAGUCAAC